GGCGUCUAAUACCGGAUAUGAGCUGCGAUCGCAUGGUCGGCAGUUGGAAAGAUUUUUCGGUCAGGGAUGAGCUCGCGGCCUAUCAGCUUGUUGGUGAGGUAAUGGCUCACCAAGGCGUCGACGGGUAGCCGGCCUGAGAGGGUGACCGGCCACACUGGGACUGAGACACGGCCCAGACUCCUACGGGAGGCAGCAGUGGGGAAUAUUGCACAAUGGGCGCAAGCCUGAUGCAGCAACGCCGCGUGAGGGAUGACGGCCUUCGGGUUGUAAACCUCUUUUAGCAGGGAAGAAGCGAGAGUGACGGUACCUGCAGAAAAAGCGCCGGCUAACUACGUGCCAGCAGCCGCGGUAAUACGUAGGGCGCAAGCGUUAUCCGGAAUUAUUGGGCGUAAAGAGCUCGUAGGCGGUCUGUCGCGUCUGCUGUGAAAUCCCGAGGCUCAACCUCGGGUCUGCAGUGGGUACGGGCAGACUAGAGUGCGGUAGGGGAGAUUGGAAUUCCUGGUGUAGCGGUGGAAUGCGCAGAUAUCAGGAGGAACACCGAUGGCGAAGGCAGAUCUCUGGGCCGUAACUGACGCUGAGGAGCGAAAGGGUGGGGAGCAAACAGGCUUAGAUACCCUGGUAGUCCACCCCGUAAACGUUGGGAACUAGUUGUGG
rnacentral:rRNA from 1 species